CUUAGUUAUCAUCAUAAAAACAAUUAUUAUAACCAUGGUUGUCAAGGGAUUUGGAUACAACAACAAAACAUCAUUCCUAGUUUGAAUAUCUCUAGCACAGAUAGGCGAAUUUGCUUUUGUUCUUUUAAGUCGUGCCUCUAAUCUCCAUCUAGUCGAGGGGAAAUUAUAUCUGCUGCUGCUUGGAACCACAACACUUAGUCUGGUAGGAUAUAAUCUUCAUUCUGUGGUCUGUGUAUGUACCCGACCUGCCUUGAACAUUUUCUAACUUCAACAUUUCCUGAAAUUCUUUUGCAGG